AACGACUCUCGGCAACGGAUAUCUCGGCUCUCGCAUCGAUGAAGAACGUAGCGAAAUGGGAUACUUGGUGUGAAUUGCAGAAUCCCGUGAACCAUCGAGUCUUUGAACGCAAGUUGCGCCCCAAGCCUUCUGGCCGAGGGCAGGUCUGCCUGGGUGUCACAAA
rnacentral:rRNA from 1 species